ACGACAGAUGUAGACAUGGCACUGUCUGGAAUGAUAACAUUUGGGUUGCUAGUAGUCUUAAUAGAUUGUUUAAAUGGACAAAUUACGCACCCUGAUCCUGUGAUAAUUAAGGCAAGUGGUAGAGCAGCUCGAAUCCAAUGCAAAGUGGAUUCAUCGACCCUUCAGUCCAGCGUUCUCCACUGGUACAGAGCUCCACCAAAGGGAGCUCUCCAACGAUUAAUGUAUUUCGAAGCUGGUUCGUCAAAGGCCAAAAAAGACCCCGACACCCCCCGUAGAUUUUCUGGGUCGGUGAAUGGUGAUCUAGUGGCACUGACUAUCUCAAAACUGGAGCUCAGCGAUGCCGGCUCGUAUUACUGCGCGCUCUGGAGUGGAGACAACACAGUGCUAUCUAUGAGAGGAAAUCAUUACAAAAACCUGCUUUCAUCAUCAAAGCGCUUUUAUUUGGAACAGCAGCAAGGAGGAGACAUUAGACAUAUUUUUAUUGUGAUGUUGCUUUUUGUUGUCAAGAUUUAAUUAAAGAAUUAGGUUAAAUGUUCCAAAAGUGUAUUGUCUCAGAAGA